UGCAGGUUUGAAAAACCUGAUGCUCACUGCCUUAACACAAUCGAUUGUCAUUAGUUCACAAUCGAUUGUCAUGCAGUCUUGGCUUAACUUAAUCGAUUAGCAUAAGUACAUAAUCGAUUAUCUUAGUCCAAAUUUUAGGGGCAUGUUUAAAAAUCAUUUUGACUAAAGUAAAUAUGCAUGAAUUAAAUAUGCAUGAUUUUG
rnacentral:lncRNA from 1 species